rnacentral:rRNA from 1 species
UAGAGGUCCGCCUGCCCGUGACUAUGAGUUUAACGGCCGCGGUACUUUGACCGUGCGAAGGUAGCGCAAUCACUUGUCUUUUAAAUGGAGACCUGUAUGAAUGGCAUGACGAGGGCUUAACUGUCUCCUUUUUCCAGUCAAUGAAAUUGAUCUUCCCGUGCAGAAGCGGGAAUAAUAUCAUAAGACGAGAAGACCCUGUGGAGCUUUAGACACUAAGACAGACCAUGUUAAACACCCCCCCUAAGGGAUUAAACCUAUUGGGAACACUGCUCUGAUGUCUUCGGUUGGGGCGACCUUGGAGAAACAAAAAACCUCCGUGUGGAAUAGGAGUACUAGACUCCCAAAACUAAGAGCCACAGCUCAAACGAACAGAAUUUCUGACCAACCUCCCUCAAACAGAUCCGGCCAACUAAUGCCGAUCAACGGACCAAGUUACCCCAGGGAUAACAGCGCAAUCCUCUUUUAGAGCCCAUAUCGACAAGAGGGUUUACGACCUCGAUGUUGGAUCAGGACAUCCUAAUGGUGCAGCCGCUAUUAAGGGUUCGUUUGUUCAACGAUUAAAGUCCUACGUGAUCUG